rnacentral:lncRNA from 1 species
AGGCGCCCACCUAGAGAACGAGGGAAUUCAUUUCAGUUUUAAGUCAAAAUCAGGCACCCACCUGGAGAACGAGGGAAUUUAUUUCAGCCCACCUGGAGAACGAGGGAAUUUAUUUCAAGUUUUAAGUCAUCAGGUGCCCACCUGGAGAACGAGGGAAUUUGUUUUAAGUUUUAAGUCAUCAGGCUCCCACCUGGAGAACGAGGGAAUUUAUUUCAAGUUUUAAGUCAUCAGGCACCCACCUUGAGAACGAGGAAAUUCAUUUUAAGUUUAAGUCAUCAGGCGCCCANNN